rnacentral:rRNA from 1 species
UGGGGAAUAUUGGACAAUGGGCGCAAGCCUGAUCCAGCCAUGCCGCGUGUGUGAAGAAGGCCUUUUGGUUGUAAAGCACUGUAAGCGAGGAGGAGGCUACUUGGAUUAAUACUCUAAGAUAGUGGACGUUACUCGCAGAAUAAGCACCGGCUAACUCUGUGCCAGCAGCCGCGGUAAUACAGAGGGUGCGAGCGUUAAUCGGAUUUACUGGGCGUAAAGCGUGCGUAGGCGGCUUCUUAAGUCGGAUGUGAAAUCCCUGAGCUUAACUUAGGAAUUGCAUUCGAUACUGGGAAGCUAGAGUAUGGGAGAGGAUGGUAGAAUUCCAGGUGUAGCGGUGAAAUGCGUAGAGAUCUGGAGGAAUACCGAUGGCGAAGGCAGCCAUCUGGCCUAAUACUGACGCUGAGGUACGAAAGCAUGGGGAGCAAACAGG